rnacentral:rRNA from 1 species
UUGAUCCUGGCUCAGAAUCAACGCUGUGCGGCGCGCCUAACACAUGCAAUUCGAACGAGAAAGUGGAGCAAUCCAUGAGUACAGUGGCGUACGGGUGAGUAACACGUGGAUAAUCUACCUUUUAGUGGGGAAUAACUCUGGGAAACCGGUGAUAAUACCGCAUAAGCCCGAGAGGGGAAAGCAGCAAUGCGCUGAAAGAUGAGUCCGCGGCCGAUUAGCUAGUUGGCAGGGUAAAAGCCUACCAAGGCAUAGAUCGGUAGCCGGCCUGAGAGGGCACACGGCCACACUGGCACUGAAACUCGGGCCAGACUCCUACGGGAGGCAGCAGUGGGGAAUCUUGCACAAUGGGUGAAACCCUGAUGCAGCGACGCCGCGUGAGCGAUGAAGCCCUUCGGGGUGUAAAGCUCUUUCGGCAGGGAAGAUAAUGACGGUACCUGCAGAAGCAGCUGUGGCUAACUACGUGCCAGCAGCCGCGGUAAUU